rnacentral:rRNA from 1 species
CCUACGGGUGGCAGCAGUGGGGAAUAUUGCACAAUGGGGGGAACCCUGAUGCAGCGACGCCGCGUGGGUGAAGGAGUACUUCGGUACGUAAAGCACUAUCAGCAGGAAAGAAAAUGACGGUACCUGACUAAGAAGCCCCGGCUAACUACGUGCCAGCAGCCGCGGGAAUACGUAGGGGGCAAGCGUUAGCCGGAUUUACUGGGUGUAAAGGUAGCGUAGACGGCUGGUCAAGUCCGGAGUGAAAGCCCGGGGCUCAACCCGGGGACUGCUCUUGAGACUGGAAAGCUGGAGUGCGGGAGGGGCAGGCAGAAUUCCUGGUGUAGCGGUGAAAUGCGUAGAGAUCAGGAGGAACACCGGCGGCGAAGGCGGCCUGCUGGACCGUGACUGACGUUGAGGCGCGAAAGCGUGGGGAGCAAACAGGAUUAGAUACCCUAGUAGUC